rnacentral:rRNA from 1 species
AGAUUGAACGCUGGCGGCAGGCCUAACACAUGCAAGUCGAGCGGCAGCACGGGUACUUGUAUCUGGUGGCGAGCGGCGGACGGGUGAGUAAUGCCUAGGAAUCUGCCUGGUAGUGGGGGAUAACGCUCGGAAACGGGCGCUAGUACCGCAUACGUCCUACGGGAGAAAGCAGGGGACCUUCGGGCCUUGCGCUAUCAGAUGAGCCUAGGUCGGAUUAGCUAGUUGGUGGGGUAAUGGCUCACCAAGGCGACGAUCCGUAACUGGUCUGAGAGGAUGAUCAGUCACACUGGAACUGAGACACGGUCCAGACUCCGUACGGGAGGCAGCAGUGGGGAAUAUUGGACAAUGGGCGAAAAGCCUGAUCCAGCCAUCGCCGCGUGUGUGAAGAAGGUCUUCGGUUGUAAAGACACUUUAAGUUAGGAAAGAAAAAAACU